rnacentral:rRNA from 1 species
AUUGAACGCUGGCGGCAUGCUUUACACAUGCAAGUCGAACGGCAGCGCGGGCUUCGGCCUGGCGGCGCGUGGCGCACGGGUGAGUAAUGCAUCGGAACGUGCCCCGUAGUGGGGGAUAGCCCGGCGAAAGCAGGAUUACUACCGCAUACGACCUGCGGGUGCAAGCGGGGGACCGAAAGGACUCGCGCUAUUGGAGCGGCCGAUGUGGGUCUGGCUAGUUGGUGGGGUAAAGGCUUACCUAGGCGACGAUCCGUAGCUGGUCUGAGAGGACGACCAGCCACACUGGAACUUAGACACGGCCCAGAGGCCUACGGGAGGCAGCAGUGGGGAAUGUGAGACAAUGGUGGCAACCCUGGUCCAACCAUGCCGCGUGCGGGAAGAAGGCCUUCGGGUUGUAAUCCGCUUUUUUUCGGGAAGAAAUCCUCUGGGCUAAUACCCCGGGGGGAUGACGGUACCGGAAGAAUAAGCACCGGCUAACUACGUG